rnacentral:rRNA from 1 species
ACGCUGGCGGCGUGCCUAAUACAUGCAAGUAGAACGCUGAAGAGAGGAGCUUGCUCUUCUUGAAUGAGUUGCGAACGGGUGAGUAACGCGUAGGUAACCUGCCUUGUAGCGGGGGAUAACUAUUGGAAACGAUAGCUAAUACCGCAUAACAAUGGGUGACACAUGUCAUUUAUUUGAAAGGGGCAAUUGCUCCACUACAAGAUGGACCUGCGUUGUAUUAGCUAGUAGGUGAGGUAACGGCUCACCUAGGCGACGAUACAUAGCCGACCUGAGAGGGUGAUCGGCCACGCUGGGACUGAGACGCGGCCCAGACUCCUACGGGAGGCAGCAGUAGGGAAUCUUCGGCAAUGGGGGCAACCCUGACCGAGCAACGCCGCGUGAGUGAAGAAGGUUUUCGGAUCGUAAAGCUCUGUUGUAAGUCAAGAACGAGUGUGAGAGUGGAAAGUUCACACUGUGACGGUAGCUUACCAGAAAGGGACGGCUAACUACGUGCCAGCAGCCGCGGUAAUACGUAGGUCCCGAGCGUUGUCCGGAUUUAUUGGGCGUAAAGCGAGCGCAGGCGGUUUGAUAAGUCUGAAGUUAAAGGCUGUGGCUCAACCAUAGUUCGCUUUGGAAACUGUCAAACUUGAGUGCAGAAGGGGAGAGUGGAAUUCCAUGUGUAGCGGUGAAAUGCGUAGAUAUAUGGAGGAACACCGGUGGCGAAAGCGGCUCUCUGGUCUGUAACUGACGCUGAGGCUCGAAAGCGUGGGGAGCGAACAGGAUUAGAUACCCUGGUAGUCCACGCCGUAAACGAUGAGUGCUAGGUGUUGGAUCCUUUCCGGGAUUCAGUGCCGCAGCUAACGCAUUAAGCACUCCGCCUGGGGAGUACGACCGCAAGGUUGAAACUCAAAGGAAUUGACCGGGGGCCCGCACAAGCGG